rnacentral:rRNA from 1 species
GAAGGUGGGGGCGAUGAUUGGGGUGAAGUCGUAACAAGGUAGCCGUAUCGGAAGGUGCGGCUGGAUCACCUCCUUUCUAGGGAA